GGGCUAGGCCGGCGGGCUGGCGGUCCGCUGUAACCCGAAAUCCGCCUCAUGCGGGGGCCGAAGCCGAGGGGGCGGCCCGGUCCCCCGGAGUACCGGCCCCCCGGACCCGACCGAUGACCCUCCGGCCCCCCGGGGGCCCGGGGUGGCGGGGCCGCCGCCGGAGGGCGGCGCGCCACCGCCUUUGCCGGGGCACCGGGUCAGGCCCGAGAGGGAGCAGCCCACCCCGGACCCGCGGCCGCUCGGGGGUCGCCGGAGGCAGGUCGGCCGGGGGAGUACCGGGCUCCGGGGGCCGGGUCCACCCCUCGGCGCGCCC
rfam:Methanopyrus kandleri AV19, complete genome.